GAUGAACGCUGGCGGCGUGCCUAAUACAUGCCAGUCGAGCGAACGGACGAGAAGCUUGCUUCUCUGAUGUUAGCGGCGGACGGGUGAGUAACACGUGGAUAACCUACCUAUAAGACUGGGAUAACUUCGGGAAACCGUAGCUAAUACCGGAUAAUAUUUUGAACCGCAUGGUUCAAAAGUGAAAGACGGUCUUGCUGUCACUUAUAGAUGGAUCCGCGCUGCAUUAGCUAGUUGGUAAGGUAACGGCUUACCAAGGCAACGAUGCAUAGCCGACCUGAGAGGGUGAUCGGCCACACUGGAACUGAGACACGGUCCAGACUCCUACGGGAGGCAGCAGUAGGGAAUCUUCCGCAAUGGGCGAAAGCCUGACGGAGCAACGCCGCGUGAGUGACGAAGGUCUUCGGAUCGUAAAACUCUGUUAUUAGGGAAGAACAUAUGUGUAAGUAACUGUGCACAUCUUGACGGUACCUAAUCAGAAAGCCACGGCUAACUACGUG
rnacentral:rRNA from 1 species